CAAGGACCAUAAAAGGUUCCUUGUUUAAAGAUGAAGAGGAAUAAACUGCCUGGCCAACAUACAACAACUAAAAAUGAUAUCUAGUCAAUGUUGUGAUCACGGAGAACUAGUGAUCUGCUUGCUCAGGGGACAAGUUUAUUUUGAAUCACUUGCUUGAAACAUCAUUUCAUCAAUGUUAUACACCCACAAAAAGUUAGGGCUUAACCUCAAUAUUAUCCAACAAUACCAGGCAGUAUCAG
rnacentral:misc_RNA from 1 species